rnacentral:rRNA from 1 species
AGAGUUUUCGAGUCCUCGGCUACAGAACGAACGUUGGCGGCACUGCCUAACACAUGCAAGUCGAACGAAGGCUUCGGCCUUAGUGGCGCACGGGUGCGUAACGCGUGGGAAGUCUGCCCUUAGGUUCGGAAUAACAGCUGGAAACGGCUGCUAAUACCGGAUGAUGACGAAAGUCCAAAGAUUUAUUGCCUGAGGAUGAGCCCGCGUUGGAUUAGGUAGUUGGUGGGGUAAAGGCCUACCAAGCCGACGAUCCAUAGCUGGUCUGAGAGGAUGAUCAGCCACACUGGGACUGAGACACGGCCCAGACUCCUACGGGAGGCAGCAGUGGGGAAUAUCGGACAAUGGGCGAAAGCCUGAUCCAGCAAUGCCGCGUGAGUGAUGAAGUCCCUAGGGUUGUAAAGCUCUUUUACCCGGGAAGAUAAUGACUGUACCGGGAGAAUAAGCCCCGGCUAACUCCGUG